rnacentral:rRNA from 1 species
UACGAAGGGGGCUAGCGUUGCUCGGAAUCACUGGGCGUAAAGGGUGCGUAGGCGGGUCUUUAAGUCAGGGGUGAAAUCCUGGAGCUCAACUCCAGAACUGCCUUUGAUACUGAGGAUCUUGAGUUCGGGAGAGGUGAGUGGAACUGCGAGUGUAGAGGUGAAAUUCGUAGAUAUUCGCAAGAACACCAGUGGCGAAGGCGGCUCACUGGCCCGAUACUGACGCUGAGGCACGAAAGCGUGGGGAGGCAAACAGG